rnacentral:tRNA from 1 species
GGGCUUGUAGCUCAGCUAGAGUACCGAGACUCAAAAUAGAGAACUCGAAACUUCUGAAAUGGCUAGAGCGUCGGACUUUUAAUCCGCAGGUCGAGAGUUCAAAGGCUUUUACACUGGUAAAUGAAAAUUCUCUCCAAGCCCG